rnacentral:misc_RNA from 1 species
GUGAAUCAUCAAAUCUUUGAACGCAAAUUGCACUCUCUGGUAUUCCGGAGAGUAUGCCUGCUUGAGGGUAAGUUUAAAUAAAAAUCGGUGUGGUUGCUGCCUUUCGUGGUGACGCACCGGAUUUGGGUCGUCUUGCUUUUGGUUAAGUGAUUUAAACUUUUGCAUGUUUUUUUUCGAACGUAUUUAAAUGUUUUUACGUACGUUUGCGAUAUCGAAUACUAGUUGUGGUCAUCCUCAUGACUCGCGCCUAUAAUUUUUCUUCAA